rnacentral:rRNA from 1 species
CACGCCGUAAACGAUGAGUACUAGGUGUAGGGGGUAUCGACCCCCCCUGUGCCGCAGUAAACACAAUAAGUACUCCGCCUGGGAAGUACGAUCGCAAGAUUAAAACUCAAAGGAAUUGACGGGGGCCCGCACAAGCGGUGGAUUAUGUGGUUUAAUUCGAAGCAACGCGAAGAACCUUACCAGGACUUGACAUCCUGCUAACGAAGCAGAGAUGCAUUAGGUGCCCUUCGGGGAAAGCAGAGACAGGUGG